AACGAACGCUGGCGGCAGGCUUAACACAUGCAAGUCGAACGCCCCGCAAGGGGAGUGGCUGACGGGUGAGUAACACGUGGGGAUCUGCCCAAUGGUACGGAAUAAUUCCGGGAAACUGGGACUAAUACCGUAUGUGCCCGCACGGGGAAAGAUUUAUCGCCAUUGGAUGAACCCGCGUCGGAUUAGCUAGUUGGUGUGGUAAAGGCGCACCAAGGCGACGAUCCGUAGCUGGUCUGAGAGGAUGAUCAGCCACACUGGGACUGAGACACGGCCCAGACUCCUACGGGAGGCAGCAGUGGGGAAUAUUGGACAAUGGGCGCAAGCCUGAUCCAGCCAUGCCGCGUGAGUGAUGAAGGCCUUAGGGUUGUAAAGCUCUUUCGCCGACGAAGAUAAUGACGGUAGUCGGAGAAGAAGCCCCGGCUAACUUCGUGCCAGCAGCCGCCGUAAAAC
rnacentral:rRNA from 1 species